rnacentral:rRNA from 1 species
UGGGGAAUAUUGGGCAAUGGGGGCAACCCUGAUCCAGCCAUGCCGCGUGCAGGAAGAAGGCCCUAUGGGUCGUAAACUGCUUUUGAACAAGAGAAAACCCCGGUACGUGUACUGGGUUGAUAGUAUUGUUAGAAUAAGCAUCGGCUAACUUCGUGCCAGCAGCCGCGGUAAGACGAAGGAUGCAAGCGUUAUCCGGAUUCAUUGGGUUUAAAGGGUGCGUAGGCGGACUGAUAAGUCAGUGGUGAAAUCUCUCGGCUUAACCGAGAAACUGCCAUUGAUACUGUUAGUCUAGAGUACAGAUGAUGUGGGCGGAAUAUGACAUGUAGUGGUGAAAUACUUAGAUAUGUCAUAGAACACCGAUUGCGAAGGCAGCUCACAAAACUGUAACUGACGCUGAGGCACGAAAGUGCGGGGAUCAAACAGGAUUAGAUACCCCGGUAGUCCCUGAGCGGGCUGGCAAGGCGCAU